rnacentral:tRNA from 1 species
AAUGGUAUAUAUUUACAUUUUUUAUAGACCCGUUGUGUAACGGUAGCACAGCAGAUUUUGGUUCUGUUAGUUGGGGUUCGAGUCCCUACGGGUCUGU